GUGGAAUUGCUAUCGCUCAACGGAUAAAAGGUACUCUAGGGAUAACAGGCUGAUCGCGCCCAAGAGUUCAUAUCGACGGCGCGGUUUGGCACCUCGAUGUCGGCUCGUCGCAUCCUGGGGCUGGAGAAGGUCCCAAGGGUCUGGCUGUUCGCCAGUUAAAGCGGCACGCGAGCUGGGUUCAGAACGUCGCGAGACAGUUCGGUCCUCUAUCCUCUGUGGGCGUAGGAGAAUUGAGGGGUUCAUUUCCUAGUACGAGAGGACCGGAAAUGACGCACCUCUGGUGCACCAGUUGUUCUGUCAAGGGCACGGCUGGGUAGCUAUGUGCGGACUCGAUAAGCGCUGAAAGCAUCUAAGCGUCAAGCGAUUCCCAAGAUGAAUUCUCCCCGAAGGAUCGUGGAAGACUACCACGUCGAUAGGCUGCAGGUAUAAGUUUAGUAAUAGAUUCAGCCGAGCAGUACUAAUCAUCCGUUUGGCUUGUUUCA
rnacentral:rRNA from 1 species